GUGUCAGCAGCCGCGGUAAUACGUAGGUGGCAAGCGUUGUCCGGAUUUAUUGGGCGUAAAGCGAGCGCAGGCGGUUCCUUAAGUCUGAUGUGAAAGCCCACGGCUCAACCGUGGAAGGUCAUUGGAAACUGGGGAACUUGAAUGCAGAAGAGGAGAGUGGAAUUCCAUGUGUAGCGGUGAAAUGCGUAGAUAUAUGGAGGAACACCAGUGGCGAAGGCGACUCUCUGGUCUGUAAUUGACGCUGAGGCUCGAAAGCGUGGGGAGCAAACAGGAUUAGAUACCCCAGUAGUCC
rnacentral:rRNA from 1 species